GACGAACGCUGGCGGCGUGCUUAACACAUGCAAGUCGAACGGAAAGGCCCUGCUUUUGUGGGGUGCUCGAGUGGCGAACGGGUGAGUAACACGUGAGUAACCUGCCCUUGACUUUGGGAUAACUUCAGGAAACUGGGGCUAAUACCGGAUAGGAGCUCCUGCUGCAUGGUGGGGGUUGGAAAGUUUCGGCGGUUGGGGAUGGACUCGCGGCUUAUCAGCUUGUUGGUGGGGUAGUGGCUUACCAAGGCUUUGACGGGUAGCCGGCCUGAGAGGGUGACCGGCCACAUUGGGACUGAGAUACGGCCCAGACUCCUACGGGAGGCAGCAGUGGGGAAUAUUGCACAAUGGGCGGAAGCCUGAUGCAGCAACGCCGCGUGCGGGAUGACGGCCUUCGGGUUGUAAACCGCUUUCGCCUGUGACGAAGCGUGAGUGACGGUAAUGGGUAAAGAAGCACCGGCUAACUACGUGCCAGCAGCCGCGGUGAUACGUAGGGUGCGAGCGUUGUCCGGAUUUAUUGGGCGUAAAGGGCUCGUAGGUGGUUGAUCGCGUCGGAAGUGUAAUCUUGGGGCUUAACCCUGAGCGUGCUUUCGAUACGGGUUGACUUGAGGAAGGUAGGGGAGAAGGGAAUUCCUGGUGGAGCGGUGGAAUGCGCAGAUAUCAGGAGGAACACCAGUGGCGAAGGCGGUUCUCUGGGCCUUUCCUGACGCUGAGGAGCGAAAGCGUGGGGAGCGAACAGGCUUAGAUACCCUGGUAGUCCACGCUGUAAACGGUGGGUACUAGGUGUGGGGUCCAUUCCACGGGUUCCGUGCCGUAGCUAACGCUUUAAGUACCCCGCCUGGGGAGUACGGCCGCAAGGCUAAAACUCAAAGGAAUUGACGGGGCCCCGCACAAGCGGCGGAGCAUGCGGAUUAAUUCGAUGCAACGCGUAGAACCUUACCUGGGUUUGACAUGGAUCGGGAGUGCUCAGAGAUGGGUGUGCCUCUUUUGGGGUCGGUUCACAGGUGGUGCAUGGCUGUCGUCAGCUCGUGUCGUGAGAUGUUGGGUUAAGUCCCGCAACGAGCGCAACCCUUGUUCACUGUUGCCAGCACGUUAUGGUGGGGACUCAGUGGAGACCGCCGGGGUCAACUCGGAGGAAGGUGGGGAUGACGUCAAGUCAUCAUGCCCCUUAUGUCCAGGGCUUCACGCAUGCUACAAUGGCUGGUACAGAGAGUGGCGAGCCUGUGAGGGUGAGCGAAUCUCGGAAAGCCGGUCUCAGUUCGGAUUGGGGUCUGCAACUCGACCUCAUGAAGUCGGAGUCGCUAGUAAUCGCAGAUCAGCAACGCUGCGGUGAAUACGUUCCCGGGGCU
rnacentral:rRNA from 1 species